ensembl:snoRNA
ACGACCGAUGAUGAGAUCUGGUGGCGUUGGAGUGAUACUCUCGAUGAACGCCAAAUAUCCAGAAAUCUGAGGUCAAU